UGCAGCUCUGGGUCUAAUGAUCUUGGAUGAAAACAAAGGGUGAUUGUGCCUUCUCUGUUGUGGCCCCAAGACUCUGGAACAAACUUCCAAUUCAUAUUAGGUCCUCUUCUACUGCGGAGAUCUUUAAGUCUUGUCUUAAAACACAUUUGUUUUCUUUGGCGUAUGAUUUAGUUUUGGGACAUUUGUUGAGAAGGGGGUUGUUUGUAUGAUGUUCACUGUGUC